rnacentral:lncRNA from 1 species
UGGCUGCCCCCAAGGAAAGAAUUUGUCCUUGGGAAGGUGGAUCUUCUCAGGUGGGCACAACUCCUAGAAAGAGACACAGCUGCCAAGAUCAAGGGGAAAAAUAAUAUUUCAAGCCUAAAAGGAGAAUCUAGUGCAAGAGAUUAUUAAGCUUGUCUAGGAUACAGAAGAAAACCAAGUUGAUGAAGAGAAAUAUCAGAAAGCUUGUCUUCUGAAAUCUUCUGAGAAAGAUAUAAGAAAUUAUAAGCAUAAUGACUACAGCAGGAUUGUUAAAGUGAGGACUGUCUUUCACAGUUUUGGUGAGAAGCAGUCUGAAAUUACAGCUAAUGCAAGGACCCACGCUGAGCACAACCACCUUCCUGCUGCUGAGAGUGGAUCACAGGGCUACCAGUAGAGAACUUGGUUUGUCUCACUCUGCAAAGCUUUUCUUCUUCCAAGUUUAAUGUCUCAAAUCUCAAAUCAUCUGCUAAUAGUAA